rnacentral:misc_RNA from 1 species
CAACCCUCAGGCCCUGCCUGGUGUUGGAGGACUGCGCCUGCAGCCUCCCAAAGCGAGCGGCGGCGUCGCCCCGAACCCGAACGCAGUAGUUACUUCUCGUUUUGGGCCCGGGGCGCUGUCCUGCCGGAAAACCCCUCUCUUUUACAU